rnacentral:rRNA from 1 species
UUGAUUACGUCCCUGCCCUUUGUACACACCGCCCGUCGCUGCCCGGGACUGAGCCGUUUCGAGAAACUUGGGGACCGCUGGAUUGGCCAUUUCGGUUGCUGGUCCGGUGGGAACCAAUUUAAUCUCAGUGGCUUGAACCGGGCAAAAGUCGUAACAAGGUAGUUGUAGGUGAACCUGCUGCUGGAUCAUUACCUGUUACCGUGAUGGUCAUAUUAUUUGAAAAGUACGUGUGUUUGUCUGGUGCACACGUACCAGCCGCCACUGCUUGUCUGGUGCCGUGGAUGGUAACGGCUAACGUUGCUACCAUGGUUGUGACGGGUAACGGAGGAUAAGGGUUCGACUCCGGAGAAGGGGCCUGAGGCGUCUACGUGUUGCUGAGCAGUUGUUUCCGUCCGUGGCUGUGAUGUGGCAACAUGUUAGGGCUCAUAUCCAUGUUUCUCGGAUGUGUGGCUUAAGACUUAAUGAGCCCUCUGCUUCAGGGCCGCCAACAAACCCUUUCAAUAAAUUUUUUUAAAAAGAAAAUUCUAGUCUUAUCGGUGGAUCACUCGGCUCGUAGGUCGAUGAAGAACGCAGCUAACUGCGUUAAUUAGUGUGAACUGCAGAAACCUUGAACACCAACUAUUCGAAUGCACAUUGCGCCGCCGGAAUCUUAUCCUUUGGCACGCCUGAUUCAGGGUCCUAACCAUAUACGCAAGCAUAAUGCGUGUGAUGUUGCGAGUUCAUUCCGUUGUGGUGGUCAACACAACAAUGGAUUGUUCUUGUCCCUGUUAAAUGCGUACAUCAGAGUGCUUCAAACAGGCGUUUCGCUUGAAUGUUCGUGCAUGGAAUAAUAGAAGAGGAGAGAGUAUUCGUUGGCGAUAGUUAUGGAUCUUUGUUACGUUGUUUCUUCAACAGAUCCAUGCUAAUUGUCCUUUGCUUGUUGGCCUACGCAUAACGAUGCUCGUUGUGCCAGCAACUUGUUUCUCGAUGCGCCGUUUUAUUUUUCGACCUGAAUUCAGACGUGAUUACCCGCUGAACUUAAGCAUAUCAGUAAGCGGAGGAAAAGAAACUAACAAGGAUUCCCUUAGUAACGGCGAGUGAAA